GACGAACGCUGGUGGCGUGCCUAAUACAUGCAAGUUGAGCGCUGAAGGUUGGUACUUGUACCCACUGGAUGAGCAGCGAACGGGUGAGUAACGCGUGGGGAAUCUGCCUUUGAGCGGGGGACAACAUUUGGAAACGAAUGCUAAUACCGCAUAAAAACUUUAAACACAAGUUUUAAGUUUGAAAGAUGCAAUUGCAUCACUCAAAGAUGAUCCCGCGUUGUAUUAGCUAGUUGGUGAGGUAAAGGCUCACCAAGGCGAUGAUACAUAGCCGACCUGAGAGGGUGAUCGGCCACAUUGGGACUGAGACACGGCCCAAACUCCUACGGGAGGCAGCAGUAGGGAAUCUUCGGAAAUGGACGAAAGUCUGACCGAGCAACGCCGCGUGAGUGAAGAAGGUUUUCGGAUCGUAAAACUCUGUUGGUAGAGAAGAACGUUGGUGAGAGUGGAAAGCUCAUCAAGUGACGGUAACUACCCAGAAAGGGACGGCUAACUACGUG
rnacentral:rRNA from 1 species